AUGCCCAAGAGAAAGGCUGAAGGGGAUGCUAAAGAAGAUAAGGCCAAGAUAAAGGACAAACUACAGGGAAGAUCCACAAAGUUGUCUGGAAAGCCUGCUCUGCCAAAGCCACAGCUGAAGCCUAAAAAGGCCCCUACAAAAAAGGGAGAGAAAGUAUCCAAAGGGGAAAAAGGAAGAGCCAACUCUGACAAAGAGGUGAAUAAACCUGCAGAAAAUGGAGAUGCCAGAACGGAGAAGGCACAGAAAGCUGAAGGUGCUGGAGAUGCCAAGUGA
rnacentral:lncRNA from 1 species